rnacentral:rRNA from 1 species
UUUUUAUGAGAGUUUGAUCCUGGCUCAGGACGAACGCUGGCGGCGUGCCUAAUACAUGCAAGUCGAACGCUUCUUUUUCCACCGGAGCUUGCUCCACCGGAAAAAGAGGAGUGGCGAACGGGUGAGUAACACGUGGGUAACCUGCCCAUCAGAAGGGGAUAACACUUGGAAACAGGUGCUAAUACCGUAUAACAAUCGAAACCGCAUGGUUUUGAUUUGAAAGGCGCUUUCGGGUGUCGCUGAUGGAUGGACCCGCGGUGCAUUAGCUAGUUGGUGAGGUAACGGCUCACCAAGGCGACGAUGCAUAGCCGACCUGAGAGGGUGAUCGGCCACAUUGGGACUGAGACACGGCCCAAACUCCUACGGGAGGCAGCAGUAGGGAAUCUUCGGCAAUGGACGAAAGUCUGACCGAGCAACGCCGCGUGAGUGAAGAAGGUUUUCGGAUCGUAAAACUCUGUUGUUAGAGAAGAACAAGGAUGAGAGUAACUGUUCAUCCCUUGACGGUAUCUAACCAGAAAGCCACGGCUAACUACGUGCCAGCAGCCGCGGUAAUACGUAGGUGGCAAGCGUUGUCCGGAUUUAUUGGGCGUAAAGCGAGCGCAGGCGGUUUCUUAAGUCUGAUGUGAAAGCCCCCGGCUCAACCGGGGAGGGUCAUUGGAAACUGGGAGACUUGAGUGCAGAAGAGGAGAGUGGAAUUCCAUGUGUAGCGGUGAAAUGCGUAGAUAUAUGGAGGAACACCAGUGGCGAAGGCGGCUCUCUGGUCUGUAACUGACGCUGAGGCUCGAAAGCGUGGGGAGCAAACAGGAUUAGAUACCCUGGUAGUCCACGCCGUAAACGAUGAGUGCUAAGUGUUGGAGGGUUUCCGCCCUUCAGUGCUGCAGCUAACGCAUUAAGCACUCCGCCUGGGGAGUACGACCGCAAGGUUGAAACUCAAAGGAAUUGACGGGGGCCCGCACAAGCGGUGGAGCAUGUGGUUUAAUUCGAAGCAACGCGAAGAACCUUACCAGGUCUUGACAUCCUUUGACCACUCUAGAGAUAGAGUUUCCCCUUCGGGGGCAAAGUGACAGGUGGUGCAUGGUUGUCGUCAGCUCGUGUCGUGAGAUGUUGGGUUAAGUCCCGCAACGAGCGCAACCCUUAUUGUUAGUUGCCAUCAUUUAGUUGGGCACUCUAGCAAGACUGCCGGUGACAAACCGGAGGAAGGUGGGGAUGACGUCAAAUCAUCAUGCCCCUUAUGACCUGGGCUACACACGUGCUACAAUGGGAAGUACAACGAGUCGCAAAGUCGCGAGGCUAAGCUAAUCUCUUAAAGCUUCUCUCAGUUCGGAUUGUAGGCUGCAACUCGCCUACAUGAAGCCGGAAUCGCUAGUAAUCGCGGAUCAGCACGCCGCGGUGAAUACGUUCCCGGGCCUUGUACACACCGCCCGUCACACCACGAGAGUUUGUAACACCCGAAGUCGGUGAGGUAACCUUUUGGAGCCAGCCGCCUAAGGUGGGAUAGAUGAUUGGGGUGAAGUCGUAACAAGGUAGCCGUAUCGGAAGGUGCGGCUGGAUCACCUCCUUUCUAAGGAA